rnacentral:rRNA from 1 species
AUGCGCUAUGAUGAGCGAUACACAUCGUAUGUAAGGGAGACAGGACUUCUCCCUUUCGUUCAGUUGGUCAGCCGAUCGACGCCACCCAACAAUGCUGCAGCAAUCACCGCGCUUAUUGAUCAUGGGAGGCCGGAGACACACACUUUCCAUCUUCGGACCGGGAAGAUGACCGUGACGCUCCAGGAUAUUGCUAUGAUCACCGGUCUUCGUAUCGAU